rnacentral:rRNA from 1 species
CCUACGGGUGUCAGCAGUGAGGAAUAUUGGUCAAUGGACGAGAGUCUGAACCAGCCAAGUAGCGUGAAGGAUGACUGCCCUAUGGGUUGUAAACUUCUUUUAUAUGGGAAUAAAAUGUUCCACGUGUGGGAUAUUGUAUGUCCCCUAUGAAUAAGGAUCGGCUAACUCCGUGCCAGCAGCCGCGGUAAUACGGCGGAUCCGAGCGUUAUCCGGAUUUCUUGGGUGUAACGGGAGCGUAGGUGGAUUGUUAAGUCAGUUGUGAAAGUUUGCGGCUCAACCGUAAAAGUGCAGUUGAAACUGGAAGUCUGGAGUACAGGAGAGGUAGGCGGAAUUCGUGGUGUAGCGGUGAAAUGCUUAGAUAUCACGAAGAACUCCGAUUGCGAAGGCAGCUCACUGGACUGCAACUGACACUGAGGCUCGAAAGUGUGGGUAUCAAACAGGAUUAGAUACCCGAGUAGUC